AUGGAGGGUUCAACGCUGACACAGAGGAGGGCUGAGUGUCAGUUGAAGGAAAGGGAGAUCCAGACAGACUACAUGAUGGAGCUGGGAGCCAGGUUGGCUCUGGUGAGACAGAUCCAGAGGGAGCAGGAGAAGGAGAUGAAGAGGAUUUGGUUUGAGACGAGGAAAAUGCCAAGCCUGAUUGAGGAGGAUGUGAGAGAUGUGACCAACCGUCCACUCACUGAGUUCAUGGCUCCCUGUAUUGACUCCCUCCCACCYCUGGCUUUCACCAAUCGGAGGCCUAUACCAACCAUGUUYCAUCCCCCCUCUCCAUUGGCCAUAKGCYKUCAGGAUGCACAGCGGUUCAUUGUAUUUUCKUACUUUGUCCCUGCUGAGUGCCCAGUUUCCACAGAGGCCACUGCAGAUGUAUCUGCUGGUAAAAGAGAGGACUUGUCGACAGAUACACAUCUAUCCUCAAUGCUGCAUCGAUACCUGCCACACUUCUUUAACGAUGACUCCAUUCCACCACAGCAGACAAUAGAGGGAACCACUGAGGACUCAGAUGCUCCAGUGGCAAUAUCUAAUAUCAAGGAAGAGGACAGAUUCUAUCCUUUCUCCCUCCCACCACUGGCUCAGCGGCUCAUUGGCAAUUCAUUCAAUGUCCCGGAAACCCCCCAGCUUGCAGUUUCAGCCACUGAGUACCAAGUUGCCAAAGAGGCCACUGCAGGUACAGCCACUGUCAAGAGAGAGAACCGAUGGGCAGCUAGAAUUCUUCCUUCAGUGCUGCCUCCAUGCCUGCCACCUGUCUUUGACAAUGACUACAAACUGCCAGGGGCGGCAGUAGAGGGAACCAACAAGUGUCCAGUUGCCAGUGAAGCAGCCGCUUCCGUAUCUACUGUCCUCCAAGAGGAGUUUUUGACUGAUAAAAGUCCUCCUGCACCCACAGCACUGUCUCUAAGGCUGCCCUGGAUCCACAACAUUGACCACAAACAGCCAGAGGAGACUGUUGAGAACACCACAGAGUGCUCAGUUGACAUAGAGGCAUGUGCAGUUGCAUCCACUGUCAAGAGAGAGGAACUGAUGGGUGAUAAAAGCCCUGUCCAUGCACUUCCUCCAAGCCUGGCAUGCAUCCAUGACAAGGACCACAAGCAGCCAGAUCAGAAAGGGAGGGGCACUACUGUGGAGGUGGAUAUCUGCCCUCAUGCUCACCAGCUGGUCUCAGAUGCUAACUUAACUCUGGCAACCCGCAAUGAUGAGCCGCCCACCCCUCUGAUCUGCGUUGUCACUAAGACGACUGUUAGAGUGGGAGCCUCCAUAUGCAGGACAGAGGAUGAGGAACCCAGGCCCCGGACCCUGGAAGAGGCAAAGGAUUAUUGGAUAGGCAUUGAAAAUGAGAGUGAAGAGAGAAAUGUCACUGAGGAGGUGAGCCCGAGGGAGGGAUUGAAGAGUGUGGCGGAUUGUGCCCAUUCCAAGUGCUCCAAUGGUACGGUUUCAUCAGAGAGAGCAGAGACCAUCCUGGGAAGAGUGGGCUUUUUGCUCAUGAACCACAUGCAGAAGAUCCCAUCUUUGAAGAUGAAGGAAAAAGAUAAAAAUAAGAAACUGAAUAAGAAGUUGAAAGAUAAAGAGAGAAAGGAGAUGAAACACAAGGAGGAGGAACAAAAAAAGAGGGAGAAGAAAGAGAUGAAGGAGAGAGAGAAAGAGCAGAAGAAAGUCAUGAAGGCUGAGAAGAAGAGGGAGAAGUUAGAACAGAAAAAGAGAGAGAAGGAAAGAAAAGAGAAGGAAAAGGCAGAGAAAAAGAGGUUAGAGGGGCUGAUGAAGAUACAUAAUGACAUGAUGAAAGACAGAAUUAAGAAAGAGAAGAAGUGUUCUGAGGAGCUGAAAAAGAGAGAGAAAGCUCAAGCUGCAUUCUUGGAGAUGGAGAGAAAGAUUCAAGAAAAGGAGGAGAAGAAGAGAGAAAAGAUGAGGAGAGAGGAGAGGAAGAGACUGGAGAAGAAGAGGAAGAGGGAGCCAGCUGGAGGUGGAACUGAGACGGUGAUAGAAGAGCAGGGAAGGGAUGAAAGCUUGAAGAUGGAUGAGUAGACUGGGUAAUAGAGAGUAGGGAGGGAGGGAUAUGAUAUUUUUGCAUGCAAUGAAAAAACUAAGCAUUUAAAAAUAAAAUAAAAAAUGUUUACUCUGUUUGAUUUUUGUUAAGGCAUACUGUACAACACUGUAUAAACACAACAUGUUAACGUUUCACACAUCUGGGGAGUGUUUAAAUGUUCGACACGAUGUAGAGGGGCUACGCUGAGAUGAGAUGAGGAGGAUGAAGAGGGAGGGGAGUGGAUGGUGGACAAAGCAGAUAUCACGACAAUAAAGACAACACAACACUUUAACCAGGUAGGCCAGUUGAGAACAAGUUCUCACAACUGCGAUCUGGCCAAGAUAAAGCAAAGCAGUGCAACAAAACCAACAACACAGAGUUACACGUGGGAUAAAGAAACAUACAGUCAAUAACACAAUAGAAAAAUGUAUGUACGGUGUGUGCAAAUGUAGUAAGACUAGGGAGGUAAGGCAAUUAAUGGUCCAUAGAGGCGAAAUAACUACAUUAACACUGGAGUGAUAGAUGUGAAGAAGAUGAUGUGCAAGUAGAGAUACUGGGGUGCAAAAUAGCAAAAAUAAAUAAAUAACAAUAUGGGGAUGAGGUAGUUGGGUGUGCGAUUUACAGAUGGGCUGUGUACAGGUACAGUGAUAGGUAAGCUGCUCUGAC
rnacentral:lncRNA from 1 species